UGAAACUACGCCUGCACGAAGUUGGAAUUGCUAGUAAUCGCGGAUCAGCAUGCCGCGAUGAAUACGUUCCCGGGUCUUGUACACACCGCCCGUCACACCAUGGGAGCUGGUAACACCCGAAGUCAGUAGUCUAACCGCAAGGAGGACGCUGCCGAAGGUGGGAUUAGCGACUGGGGUGAAGUCGUAACAAGGUACC
rnacentral:rRNA from 1 species